ACAGUUCAUAUUUGUGUCAUUUAAUUGCUAUUUUCUAUGCUUCAUUUUCUAUUUCCUGUUUUAAAUACAUUAUUUCCUUGUUGUUUUGCUAUUUCUUGUAUAUCAGAUUGCAAAAAGUUCUUCAAGGUAUUCACUGAAUUAAGCAUCAAUAACAGGCUCUCUGUAGCUGUAACAACCAGCAACGGAUCCUUAAUUGUUUGAUUGAUUCUUGAUGUUCAAUUUCUCUUUAUGUAUUAGAUUUGUUUCCGGUGAACUUUGUUGAUCGUUUUGUUUUGCCAUCUUACUGAAUCCUUUAAUAUUCGCCGUAGCUGGGAUUGAAUUGAGGAUGACGGAAUAAACUGGAAAGGAAAUAACUUAAGUCAUUAUGUUCACAAUGAAGGAUUGACAUUACUGAUUCGUCCAACAAAAUCAGG